GAAGAAGAUGAGGAUUGGUUGCCAGAAGGGUUUGAGAAGAGAAUGGAAGGGAAGGGACUCAUAAUAAGAGGAUGGGCACCCCAAGUUUUGAUUCUUGAUCAUGAAGCAGUGGGAGGAUUUGUGACUCAUUGUGGAUGGAAUUCAACCUUGGAAGGCGUGUGUGCUGGUGUGCCUAUGGUCACUUGGCCAAUAUUUGCAGAGCAGUUCUACAAUGAAAAGUUGGUGACUCAAGUCUUGAAGAUUGGAGUGGCCGUUGGUGUUCAGAAAUGGGUGAGAGUGGAGGGAGAUUUUGUGGAAAGGGAAGCCAUUGAAAAGGCAGUGAAGGAGAUCAUGAAGAGUGAGAGAGCAGAAGCAAUGAGAAACAGAGCCAAAGCACUGGCCGAAGCAGCAAAAAAAGCUGUUGAAAAAGGAGGGUCUUCUUACUCUGAUUUGGAUGCUCUGAUUGAAGAAAUAAGCUUACAUUCUCAUUAAAUCCGUAGACAUUUCAUAUUGUCGUUUGGUUCUUCAACUUCAUGCAUGUUUCGCUUUACUGUUAAAUUGGUAGAGCCCUCCUUUCAUACUUUGUAUAAUAUAACACCUGCAUGAUUCUUUUUUUUUGUCUUUCUCAAUUGUUCCGAUACUGGGACGGACUUGUGAGGUGAGUCUUGGAUACGGUAUAUUCAAAACAGGUAUGCUCAAAUUUUUAACUUUUUCUUUUAUAUAUUUUAAGGUACCCAUAUAUAAAUAUUUGAAUAGAUGAAUGGGGUUCUUAAAAUUUUAAUUAAUCCAAGUCACAGGUUUUGAGCCUUUGGUAAUGUCAUGUCUUGUCAAUCGAUGUUAGUGCAAUUAGGAGUCCGAGAUAGCUGACUCACAUUGAGGUCUUCAAAUUGGAGUUAGUCCAUGGAUUUUGAAUCGAGUGGUUGAAUUUUUUUUUUGAAAAGUGGAUAUGAAGUGGGGCGGAAUUGAUUUUUUUUUUUUUUAAAACAUGAGUAUGGAGCAGUUAUGGUAAUUACUUGCUUCGCUCCGUCUUGCAUUGCUCUGUUAUAUAAUAUUAUCAUUUUAUUCUUAUAUACAUAACUAUUAAAAAGGUAAAAAUGUAAUAAUGUAUUAUAGAAACAAUUAUAUUUUUUAUGUUCAAAUAUUUUUCAGAAGAAUUAUGUUGAAAUAUUUAUUUAACUUUAAAAUAUUGAACCUAUUGAAGAUUAAAAGGUAACAUCUAUGGAGGUGGUAAUAAAUGAUGAAGUGGGCCGGGUGGUGAAGUAAAGCGUAUGAUUGGAUUUAGUAACAUCUAUCCCUCCUUGUUUCCAUUGUCAUCUUUAAAUUUACUAAUCUGAACAUAAUUAUAAAUAAAAAAGCAUUAAAAUUGAAAAUUUGUAAUUAUGGAUUUUUUCUCUGUAACAUUGAUGCGUGAAUAGGAAGUGUUUUUGUUAUAAAUUUCGACAAAAAAUUUAAUUUUGCAAACAAAAUUAAUGAGGUUGUCACGUGUCUUAAAUGGUUAGAUUUGAUUAAUUUAGUGAUUGAAUUAGUAUUUUUGUAGUUAGAGACUUAAGGAGAUGAUUUAAUAUAAUGACAGAAAUUCAUAAUUAAACCUUUAAAAUGCUUUCUAGUUUUCGUCGUGUUUGUUUUGAAAAUAAUAAUAUUAUAUUGUUAGCAACGUGUCAUAUCAGUUAUUAAAUCUGUUAAAAAAAGAAUUAAACAACGGAAAAGCCGUACAAAAUUCCAAAAUCGAUCAAAACAUUAAAUAGUACAAAUUUCAAAGGAAGAUUGGAUCAGGUUAAGUUCAAUUGAUUUUUAAAUAUUUUUUAAAAAUUAAUCAACAUUUUUUAAAAAUUUGUUGAAUUUACUAAUAAUUUUUAUUAAUUUAAUAUAUUCCUUUCUCGAUCCUAGAUUAUACAGGUCAUCGCUUCAGUGUUAGCGGAAAUUCAUCACACAAUUUCAAGUUCAAACAACCCCAGAAAUUUCCAGUUUCAUCACCUAUCACUUCUAAUCUAAAUUCAACUGUUUUUGAGUGUUUUUCAAGGGAAAAUGAGAAGAGAAAUUCAUAUGUUCUUCCUUCCAUUCUUGGCUCAUGGUCACCUCAUCCCAGUAGUGGAUAUGGCCAAGAUGUUUGCGAGUCGAGGAGUGAAGACAACUAUAGUUACCACUCCAGUCAACGCUCUUCUCUUCUCCAACACAAUCGCGAGAAGCAAGGAAUCUGGUAUCCACAUCGGUGUCGAGCUUCUCAACUUCCCCGCUGUCGACGUUGGGUUGCCUGAAGGGUGUGAAAACGAUGACUUGAUCCCUACUUCCCAAGACGGAAAUUUGGAAAUGAUUACCAAAUUCUUCCAGGCCUCACUCAUGCUUCAACAACCCUUUGAAAAGCUGCUACAAGAACGUAAACCAGAUUGUUUGGUGGCUGAUAUGUUCUUCCACUGGGCUACUGAUGCUGCAAACAAAUUCGGGAUUCCCAGGUUGGUUUUUCAUGGAAUUAGCUACUUUUCAUUGUGUGCAUCGGAGUGCAUGAGUCUAUACAAGCCAUACAAGAAGGUUCAGUCCGAUUCCCAACCUUUUGUGGUGCCUAACCUACCAGGCGAUAUCAAGUUAACAAGAAACCAAGUGCCGGAUUACGUCAAACAAGAUGCUGAAACUAAUUCUACCAAGCUGUUGAAAGAAAUCAAGGAAGCAGAGCUGAAAAGCUACGGCGUAGUUGUCAACAGUUUUUACGAGCUGGAGGCAACCUAUGCUGAUUACUACAGGAAUGUACUGGGGAAAAAGUCAUGGCAUGUCGGCCCAGUUUCGCUCUGCAAUAGGAAAAAUAUAGAUAAAGUUGAGAGGGGAAACAAAUCAGUCAUUGAUGAGCAGGAGUGUUUGGAGUGGCUUGAGUUAAAAGAACCCAAUUCGGUUCUUUACAUAUGUUUUGGGAGUAGGACCAACUUUACAUCUUCUCAAUUAAAGGAGAUCGCCAUGGCCCUUGAAGCAUCGGAGUUGCAGUUCAUUUGGGUUGUGAGGAAGCAAAAGAACAAUGAAGAAGAGGAUGAUUGGUUGCCAGAAGGAUUUGAGAAGAGAAUGGAAGGGAAGGGACUUAUAAUAAGAGGAUGGGCACCCCAAGUGUUGAUUCUUGAUCAUGAAGCCGUUGGGGGAUUUGUGACUCAUUGUGGAUGGAAUUCAACCUUGGAAGGCGUGUGUGCUGGUGUGCCUAUGGUUACUUGGCCAGCAUUUGCUGAGCAGUUUUACAAUGAAAAGUUGUUGACUCAAGUCUUAAAUAUUGCAGUAGCUGUGGGUGCUCAGAAAUGGGUGAGAGUAGUGGGAGAGUUUGUGG
rnacentral:lncRNA from 1 species